CUUACUCCCUUUCUCCCAAAAUGCAGUCACACACACAGAGGAGAGGAGAGCGUCUGAGAGAGCUGAGAGGAAGAGAGGGGGCUACACCACAUCGUCGUCCAACCGCCGUCCAUCCCGCCAUCACCGGUGUCUCACUGCUGUCGCUGUAGAGACUGAACGCCUUUGAGUUUCCUGCUGCCACCUUGGAGGCCGUCUGUCAUCAAGAGCGUCAGGAGAAAGAGAGAGGGACGAACUCGCGAGGGAGAGAGAGGAGGUUGCGCCGCGUAGCCGUGGAGCCCGUCACACGUGUCACCACCGUCGGAAACAGAACCAUGAAGAGGAGAGGAAGAACGAUGUUGGGAGGAAACUGUGAGCUGCAAGCCGCUGACCGAGAAGAAGCUUUGUCUUCGUCGCCGCGUUGGAGUCGUCGCUGCCAACGCCGCGCACCGCCAUCAGCACCUUCGUUGAAGGGAGCUCGCCGUCAUAGUUCAAUCAUCAUUGAGCUUGAAGGGAAGCACCACUGAAAUACCCGACAGCAGCUUCCCCUGCGUUCCCAAUUCCAUUCUAGAAACUUCGUCCCUGUCGUUCAUGCCCCUUUGCUGCACCUGUUUCUCUACUGCUAUUAUUUGGAGUACCGGUGUUGAUGCUAUUAUGAAUCUGUUAGAGUUGCUAUUGGGCUGUGAUUGCUCUUAAUUUCCAUCCAAUUUGAAUCCUUUGUUUGGUUACAACCCCGGUCACUGCCGUGAAGAUUAACAAUGCUACUGUUCCGAUUGCUGCCUUUGCCAUUCCGGUUGUGUGACAGUCACCGCUGCUGCCAUGAAACUAAAACGAAAGGGAAUUGUUACGUUAAAUUAUGCAAUUGCGACAUCGAGUGACACAGGUUUGAAGAUACAAUAUGAAGCUACAAGCGAUUAGUAGGCUUUCUUUAUGGUUUUAAUUGCUUUCAUAGAGUCCCCUCGCUCUUGUCCUUUGAGGUUUUAUUUUGACAGAGGGGUAGGUGUUGUAUUUGGGUUUAUAUGACUUCUUAUGUAUAAGAAUUACUAUUAAUAAUACUUAUGUGAUUGUUAUUAUUAUUUGCAAUGUUUAUCCUUGA